rnacentral:rRNA from 1 species
AGAGUUUGAUCCUGGCUCAGGAUGAACGCUAGCUACAGGCUUAACACAUGCAAGUCGAGGGGAAACGGCAUUUAGUGCUUGCACCGAAUGGACGUCGACCGGCGCACGGGUGAGUAACGCGUAUCCAACCUUCCCAUAACUAAGGGAUAACCUGCCGAAAGGCAGACUAAUACCUUAUGUAAUCCUUUGAUGGCAUCAGAUAAGGAUAAAAGAUUUAUCGGUUAUGGAUGGGGAUGCGUCUGAUUAGCUUGUUGGCGGGGUAACGGCCCACCAAGGCAACGAUCAGUAGGGGUUCUGAGAGGAAGGUCCCCCACAUUGGAACUGAGACACGGUCCAAACUCCUACGGGAGGCAGCAGUGAGGAAUAUUGGUCAAUGGACGGAAGUCUGAACCAGCCAAGUAGCGUGCAGGAUGACGGCCCUAUGGGUUGUAAACUGCUUUUGUAUGGGGAUAAAGUCAAUCACGUGUGAUUGUUUGCAGGUACCAUACGAAUAAGGACCGGCUAAUUCCGUGCCAGCAGCCGCGGUAAUACGGAAGGUUCGGGCGUUAUCCGGAUUUAUUGGGUUUAAAGGGAGCGUAGGCCGGAGAUUAAGUGUGUUGUGAAAUGUAGACGCUCAACGUCUGACUUGCAGCGCAUACUGGUUUCCUUGAGUACGCACAACGUUGGCGGAAUUCGUCGUGUAGCGGUGAAAUGCUUAGAUAUGACGAAGAACUCCGAUUGCGAAGGCAGCUGACGGGAGCGCAACUGACGCUUAAGCUCGAAGGUGCGGGUAUCGAACAGGAUUAGAUACCCUGGUAGUCCGCACAGUAAACGAUGGAUGCCCGCUGUUGGUACCUGGUAUCAGCGGCUAAGCGAAAGCAUUAAGCAUCCCACCUGGGGAGUACGCCGGCAACGGUGAAACUCAAAGGAAUUGACGGGGGCCCG